UUGGGGCUUCCCGGGCAGCCUGGCAGGGCUGCGGAUGCGCCUUGGCGCUUGGGCUGUGGAACACCCUCUUCCCCCAUGUAGCUCCUGGUGCAGAACUCCCCAGCAGCCAGGGUGCUGCUUUUGUGCCGUCCUGGGAUGCUGGCGCCCCCGGCAGCCUGGGGUGCUGCCUGGUCCCAGAUGCCCCGGGCGCCCCCAUUAAAGUUCCCGUUCCUGGACAGAGGACUGGUUCCUCAUAAAUUGCCGAUUCCUUGAGGGAAAGACAUGCUGCAGGAUGCCGGUUUUAUUUUGUCUUUUACUCAACAGUUCCCAGAAGCCAUGACAUGUCCCUGCAGCUGGGGGCCUCCCAGGGUCUCUCUGGAGGCCCUCUGGGUCCUGCCUUGCCUGGGAAGGAAAGAAGGAAAUGUGUGUCCGGGGAGACCCUUCGGCUGAGCCCACAAGGCACCAUCAGCUUCUCACCUCUGGGGCCUUCUCCUCUCUGCAGCGUCCACCUUCAGAGGCUCUCCCUGGUCCUCCUUGUCCUAGAGGAGAUUGGAUGCCAAGUCAAGGAAGGAGCCCAAAGACUCACAGGGGAGGAAGCCAUCUGAGUUUUUCGGUGCAGAACCCAUUGGCUCCGGUGGUGAGGAGAGACAUAAUUUCACCUCCAGCAGUGCUCCUGAGUCCAGGAAUUGCCACCCCCACCCCAAAGAUCCUCCUCUGGCCAUCAUAAAGGGGUGAAUAGUGCCUGGCACCAGUAAUUUUCCCUUUCCCCUUACCACCAGGCCCUCGACUGGAAAUGGCAAAUAGGCGCCCAUGGGACACCCUAAGUUUGUCCCCUGCCAGAGGCCUCAGCUUCCUCCCCUACUUCUGAGCUCACCCUAACAGCCCCUCCUGCUAUCCAGUGGGUGAGGUCAGAGGGAUGGUUUUUCACCCAUAUGAACUCAGAUGGGGCACCCAACUUCCUCAUUCCCUGGGCCCUAGUUAACUCUCCAACCAGGCCAAGACACUGUCUCAGUUGUCCAGAUGCUGGGGGCCCUGUGCUCAGCCCAAAACAUGCUCAGCUUUUUGAAUAAAAUUAUUUCAAAAUGGUGUCUACAAAUAUUGGAACCGCCCUCCUCUAAAAUUAUAGCUA